GGCAUAGUAGCGGGGUGGCAUAGUAGAGAGAUUUGACUGUAUCGCCUAUUCGGUAAUAAAUCUCGUUUGGUCCUGAUGUACAGUCUGGUCGCUCCUGUUAAACCUGCUAAACAUUCUUCUGUGAGAAUUUGAGGUGUAGACAUAGCUUUCUCUCAUGCAGCAGGUGACCUUGGACAGCUAAUUGUUACUGAUUUAAUGUCACGACUCAUUUAGGCCGAUCAAUUUCUGCUGCCAUACGUCAGAUUAGUUCUGUCAGAUCUUUAAUGGUUUGUACCCUUUUUUUGUCCGGACACGACAUGCAUGGUUGCAGAAAUCCAAGAUCUGGUCUGUAUGGUAACACUGACCCAAGAAAUAAGCCACUUCAGUCUGCAGGCAAAGAACAAAAUCACUGAGCACAUUCAAGAAAUACAUCGCUGUUAAGCACACAAAGUAGGACCAUCACAACCAAAGGCGCAUACGCAAGAAAAACAGAUCUAGGAUCAAAAGCCAUGCAGUGAUAAUAAGAAAACAGUGUCGACGACCUCAUUUCAAGGCAGCACAAUAGUUCAGGAUGGCAGAAAUAAAGAUGACAAUUAUAAAAUCAGAUCUGGACUCUAAGCAAUCCAUAAAUCUACGCGAGAAAUAUAAUAAUAUAGAGAUCCAUCCUCAAGCUGUUAGGUCAAGGACCAUAACUCUUGUUUAACUGUUUAAUAUAAUGAAUCGAGAUCACUGACUGAUAGCUGUAAAGGUAUUCAAGGUGUAUAAAAUAUUAUUUAGGCUGAACAAUUCGAAUGAGAUAAGAAUUAGUAGUAAUUAAUAAGAAUUAAUAAGAUUUUCCGAUGGUUGUUCGCUACCGAACCUGUUUCCGGCAAGGGUCGACUGUAGCGACAACGAGGCUGCGCCUGACGGUUGCAGACACCCAAGGUCCGGUCCAGUCAAUACAGAGCAGAGGUUUCAGAGAGAUCGUCAUGUCGUCCACAAACAUAUCCACUGUCCCUGGACAUAAGAUUUCUACGGUUAAGAAGCAGCCGAAGCAUACACCAAAAAUCUCGCAGGUCGCAAUGUUUGGUGUACAAGAAUUGGAGCGAGCGUUUCCUAAACUUCUAACGAUGCCUGAAUUGCAGUUUAUGUCUACCACUAUAACACAAGAUUUUGCAGACCCAGUCAAGAUUCUCCAAAGAGACAACCUUCCGAAGAAGCGUCAAAGUCAGCAGACGAUGGAGAAAGUGACCAAGAUGCGUGACCUGUCUCUAAUCAACCGUGCCACCUUUUUGAGUUGCAGAGACCUAAGCUCCCGGUUCGACAUGGCAUCCAGAGAAAACUGGAAGCGAAAGGCCGAUCUUGUAAUCAACUUCAGGAACAUGCUCCGAAAGGAAACAGUGCAGCCCAACAAGCCGCAGAGCGUGGGUAAAGAUAUUAAGAAGGACUUUGCAGAACUGGUGCAGGAAACCUGGAAUUCCGAGAGGCUUCCAAGUCGACAAUUACUGGAUACAAAGAGAAUAUUUACUCCCGAGCUAUGAUCAACCGGGCCAUCUUUUUGAGGCAAAUUGAUCGUUUAUCUCAGGACGAUGCACGAUAUAUUACACAGGACACAGAACUCAGAGACAAAAUUUUCUCCUACCCAUGUAAAGACAACCGUUCAGUCGAUGGACACAUCCCCAGCUUCAACUCUCCUUCGACUUUAAGUCGAAAACAACUCCAGUUCUUGAUCCUUCGAGGCGCAAGACCCACACGCAAAUAUAUUAUUUCCUGCAGUCUGAUGCGAGCAUCAUCUCCAGUAAAAAUCGAAAAUCUGACUUUGACACCCAGAUCUCUAGGCCGAUAGCCGAUAAGACGCCAAAGAGAUCCACCUUUUGUGUUGAGGGAAAUGGUAAAUCUGCGACCCUCAACUCUACAACCUAGAGUGUGUUCAAGAGAUGAGCUGAAUUCACCUGAGUAGUGACAAAAUGUACCUAAGCACUACAAAGUUAAGCUUUUAUUGAUGAAAAGCACAAAACUUGUGCUAUAUCUUUGUGACUUAGUGAUUGUCCAUUAGCGUUGGGUUCUUGUAAGAGAGGAAUAAUUCACUGUUAUCUAAAAACAUGAUCUGUUUUUGUAGUUCAGCAGAAAUUCCUGAAUUGCUUCUUACAGAUGCAUAGAACUUACUGAUAAAGAUGAGUGUGAAUAUUACUGUCAAUUUCUAAAUCAGGAAAUGGGAAACAGCCUGCCAAAAGUAGACAGAAUAAUGUAUGACUAUUAAAACAAAAAACCUGUAUUACCCAUGAGGUACAUGCACGUGCACACCUACUAGCACAUGUAUAGAUGUCUACAUAAUCUUAGCUGCUAAAGAAAGCUGUGUCUUAAGUCCCAGUCCCCAGUCGACCUUUGUGCACUUCAAUUGUUUUUUCCUUGAGACAUUUUUAUGACGAUUUUAUUUUUGAGGAGCAAUUUUUUUUAUGAUUAUGUAACAAUAUUAUUGCAAUGUAAUGAAUAUUUUUAAAUGUCUGCUGCAUUCUGUACAGCUAGUCAGAUGGCUGCACUUUGUACAAUGUGGCAAUCACCUUUACAAUUUGUUGAUCACUUUUUUUAAAGUUUGACUUUUUACAAAUAAACACUUGACU